rnacentral:rRNA from 1 species
AGGACGAACGCUGGCGGCGUGCUUAACACAUGCAAGUCGAGCGGAAAGGCCCUUCGGGGUACUCGAGCGGCGAACGGGUGAGUAACACGUGAGCAAUCUGCCCUUAGCUUCGGGAUAGCCCCGGGAAACCGGGAUUAAUACCGAAUAUGACCUCGGCCGACAUCGGCUUUGGUGGAAAGUUUUUCGGCUAGGGAUGAACUCGCGGCCUAUCAGCUUGUUGGUGGGGUAAUGGCCUACCAAGGCGACGACGGGUAGCCGGCCUGAGAGGGCGACCGGCCACACUGGGACUGAGACACGGCCCAGACUCCUACGGGAGGCAGCAGUGGGGAAUAUUGCGCAAUGGGCGAAAGCCUGACGCAGCGACGCCGCGUGGGGGAUGAAGGCCUUCGGGUUGUAACCCCUUUCAGCAGGACGAGCGAGAGUGACGGUACCUGCAGAAGAAGCGCCGGCUACUACGCGCCAGCAGCCGC